rnacentral:tRNA from 1 species
GGAAAUGGCUCAAUCGGUAAAGCAUCUGCCUGUUAAACAAAAGGUUGUUGGUUCGAAUCCAACCCA